AAUAGAUACCCUGGUAGUCCACGCCGUAAACGAUGAGUGCUAAGUGUUAGAGGGUUUCCGCCCUUUAGUGCUGCAGCUAACGCAUUAAGCACUCCGCCUGGGGAGUACGGCCGCAAGGCUGAAACUCAAAGGAAUUGACGGGGGCCCGCACAAGCGGUGGAGCAUGUGGUUUAAUUCGAAGCAACGCGAAGAACCUUACCAGGUCUUGACAUCCCCUGCCAACCCUAGAGAUAGGGCGUUCCCCUUCGGGGGACAGAGUGACAGGUGGUGCAUGGUUGUCGUCAGCUCGUGUCGUGAGAUGUUGGGUUAAGUCCCGCAACGAGCGCAACCCUUGAUCUUAGUUGCCAGCAUUCAGUUGGGCACUCUAAGGUGACUGCCGGUGACAAACCGGAGGAAGGUGGGGAUGACGUCAAAUCAUCAUGCCCCUUAUGACCUGGGCUACACACGUGCUACAAUGGAUGGUACAAAGGGUCGCGAAACCGCGAGGUGGAGCCAAUCCCAAAAAACCAUUCUCAGUUCGGAUUGCAGGCUGCAACUCG
rnacentral:rRNA from 1 species